rnacentral:rRNA from 1 species
ACGGCUCAGUAACACGUGGACAACCUACCCUCCGGACGGGGAUAAACCCGGGAAACUGGGUAUAAUACCCGAUAGAUCUCGACUGCUGGAAUGCAUCGAGAUCGAAAGCUCCGGCGCCAGAGGAUGGGUCUGCGGCCUAUCAGGUAGUAGUGGGUGUAGCGUACCUACUAGCCUACGACGGGUACGGGUUGUGAGAGCAAGAGCCCGGAGAUGGAUUCUGAGACACGAAUCCAGGCCCUACGGGGUGCAGCAGGCGCGAAAACUUUACAAUGCCGGCAACGGCGAUAAGGGGACCUCGAGUGCCAGGUUACAAAUCUGGCUGUCGUAAUGCCUAAAAAGCAUUGCAUAGCAAGGGCCGGGCAAGACCGGUGCCAGCCGCCGCGGUAACACCGGCGGCUCGAGUGGUAACCGUUAUUAUUGGGUCUAAAGGGUCUGUAGCCGGCCGGAUAAGUCUCUUGGGAAAUCCAGCAGCUCAACUGUUGGGCUUUCAGGAGAUACUGUCUGGCUCGAGGCCGGGAGAGGUGAGAGGUACUUCAGGGGUAGGGGUGAAAUCUUGUAAUCCUUGAAGGACCACCAGUGGCGAAGGCGUCUCACCAGAACGGACCUGACGGCAAGGGACGAAAGCUAGGGGCACGAACCGGAUUAGAUACCCGGGUAGUCCUAGCCGUAAACGAUACUCGCUAGGUGUCGGCCACGGUGCGACCGUUGUCGGUGCCGUAGGGAAGCCGUGAAGCGAGCCGCCUGGGAAGUACGGCCGCAAGGCUGAAACUUAAAGGAAUUGGCGGGGGAGCACA